GCCUUGGUAGCUCAGUCGGUACAGCAUGACACUCUUAAUCUCAGGGCUGUGUAUUUGAGCCCCAUGUUGGGCA